UACGAAGGGGGCUAGCGUUGCUCGGAAUCACUGGGCGUAAAGGACGCGUAGGCGGCCAUUCAAGUCGGGGGUGAAAGCCUGUGGCUCAACCACAGAAUUGCCUUCGAUACUGUUUGGCUUGAGUAUGGCAGAGGUUAGUGGAACUGCGAGUGUAGAGGUGAAAUUCGUAGAUAUUCGCAAGAACACCAGUGGCGAAGGCGGCUAACUGGGCCAUUACUGACGCUGAGGCGGCGAAAAGCGGUGGGGAGCAAACAGG
rnacentral:rRNA from 1 species